GACGAACGCUGGCGGCGUGCCUAAUACAUGCAAGUAGAACGCUGAAGGAGGAGCUUGCUUCUCUGGAUGAGUUGCGAACGGGUGAGUAACGCGUAGGUAACCUGCCUGGUAGCGGGGGAUAACUAUUGGAAACGAUAGCUAAUACCGCAUAAGAGUAGAUGUUGCAUGACAUUUGCUUAAAAGGUGCAAUUGCAUCACUACCAGAUGGACCUGCGUUGUAUUAGCUAGUUGGUGGGGUAACGGCUCACCAAGGCGACGAUACAUAGCCGACCUGAGAGGGUGAUCGGCCACACUGGGACUGAGACACGGCCCAGACUCCUACGGGAGGCAGCAGUAGGGAAUCUUCGGCAAUGGACGGAAGUCUGACCGAGCAACGCCGCGUGAGUGAAGAAGGUUUUCGGAUCGUAAAGCUCUGUUGUAAGAG
rnacentral:rRNA from 1 species